rnacentral:rRNA from 1 species
UACGUAGGGUGCGAGCGUUAAUCGGAAUUACUGGGCGUAAAGCGUGCGCAGGCGGUUUGUUAAGACCGAUGUGAAAUCCCCGGGCUUAACCUGGGAACUGCAUUGGUGACUGGCAGGCUUUGAGUGUGGCAGAGGGAGGUAGAAUUCCACGUGUAGCAGUGAAAUGCGUAGAGAUGUGGAGGAAUACCGAUGGCGAAGGCAGCCUCCUGGGCCAUUACUGACACUGAGAAGCGAAAGCAUGGGGAGCGAACAGG